rnacentral:pre_miRNA from 1 species
CUCGGGGGCGGGGGGUCCCUCAACCCAGAUUGUGAGAGGGUGCUGGCCAGGUUGAGGGACCCCACCAGUAUAGG